rnacentral:rRNA from 1 species
UGAUUUCACACUGUCAAGAAAAGUCUCUAUCGAGGUUAAAGGUACCCGUACCGCAAACCGACACAGGUGGGUGAGGAGAGUAUCCUAAGGCCCGCGAGAGAACUGUUGUUAAGGAACUCGGCAAAAUGACCCCGUAACUUAGGGAUAAGGGGUGCCACCAUCCGGUGGCCGCAGAGAAUAGGCCCAAGCGACUGUUUACCAAAAACAUAGGUUUCUGCUAAGUCGCAAGACGAUGUAUAGGAGCUGACGCCUGCCCGGUGCUGGAAGGUUAAGGGGAUCUGUUAGAGCAAUCGAAGCAGUGAACUUAAGCCCCAGUAAACGGCGGCCGUAACUAUAACGGUCCUAAGGUAGCGAAAUUCCUUGUCGGGUAAGUUCCGACCCGCACGAAAGGCG